rnacentral:rRNA from 2 species
AUUCCAACGAUUGCGACCCCAGGUCAGGC